CCUACGUGGGGCAGCAGUGGGGAAUAUUGGACAAUGGGCGAAAGCCUGAUCCAGCCAUGCCGCGUGUGGGAAGAAGGCCUUCGGGUUGUAAAGCACUUUCGGUGGGGAAGAAAGCCUGGGGUCUAAUACCCUCGGGUAAGGACAUCACCGACAGAAGAAGCACCGGCUAACUCCGUGCCAGCAGCCGCGGUAAUACGGAGGGUGCGAGCGUUAAUCGGAAUUACUGGGCGUAAAGCGCGCGUAGGCGGUCUGAUAAGCCGGUUGUGAAAGCCCCGGGCUCAACCUGGGAACGGCAUCCGGAACUGCCAGGCUAGAGUGCAGGAGAGGAAGGUAGAAUUCCAGGUGUAGCGGUGAAAUGCGUAGAGAUCGGGAGGAAUACCAGUGGCGAAGGCGGCCCCCUGGACUGAUACUGACGCUGAGGUGCGAAAGCGUGGGUAGCAAACAGGAUUAGAUACCCUAGUAGUC
rnacentral:rRNA from 1 species